rnacentral:rRNA from 1 species
UACGUAGGGUGCGAGCGUUAAUCGGAAUUACUGGGCGUAAAGUGUGCGCAGGCGGCCAUGCAAGUCGAGUGUGAAAGCCCCCGGGCUUAACUUGGGAAUUGCGCUCGAAACUACGUGGCUGGAGUGUGGCAGAGGAAGGUGGAAUUCCACGUGUAGCGGUGAAAUGCGUAGAGAUGUGGAGGAACACCAAUGGCGAAGGCAGCCUUCUGGGCCAACACUGACGCUCAUGCACGAAAGCGUGGGGAGCAAACAGG